rnacentral:lncRNA from 10 species
GUGGAUCCUGCAUGGGGGCUGCAGGUGGAGCUGCCUGCCAGUCAGGAGCCGUGCGCCCCGCACUCCUCAGCCCUUGGGUGGUCGAUGGGACUGGGCGCCCUGGAGCAGGGGGCGGCGCUCGUUGGGGAGGCUAGGGCCGCACAGGAGCCCACGGAGGUGGGGGGAGGCUCAGGCAUGGCAGGCUGCAGGUGCCGAGCCCUGCCCCGCGGGAAGGCAGCUAAGGCCCUGCGAGAGAUUGAGCACAGCAGCUGCUGGCCCAGGUGCUAAGCCCCUCACUGCCCUGGGCCGGUGGGGCCCGCCGGCGGCUCCGAGUGCGGGGUCCGCCGAGCCCACGCCCACCCGGAACUCGCGCUGGCCCGUAAGCACCGCGCGCAGCCCCGGUUCUCGCUGGCGCCUCUCCCUCCACAACUCCCCGCAAGCUGAGGGAGCCGGCUUCGGCCUUGGCCAGCCCAGAAAAGGGAUCCCACAGUGCAGCGGCGGGCUGAAGGGCUCCUCAAGUGCCGCCAAAGUGGGAGCCCAGGCAGAGGAGGCGCCGAGAGCGAGCGAAGGCUGUGAGGACUGCCAGCAGGCUGUCACCUCUCACCAGGUUGGCAGAAAAAGAAAACAUUAGCAGCCAAAUUAGCCAGUCUGCCUGUGGAAUGAAGGCUCCAGUUUUUGACCUCUAAUGAAAGAAGAAAGAAUACUCAUUGAGGUUUCAGCUGCUUGGGGCCAUUUAGGCAUGGAUUUUCUUCUGCCUCUGCCACCUGGAGACAGGAAGACCAACCCCUCCUGCCCUCCUCCUCCCUAGCCUAGCCAAUGUGAAGAUGACAAGAAUGAAGACGUUUAUGAUGAUCCACUUCCACUUGAUGAACAAGAUGGGGUCAGCUAUGUAGACCAGGCUGGUCUCAAAUUCCUAGUGCCAAGCGAUCCUCCUAUCUUGGCCUCCCAAAGUGCUGGGAUUACAGGCAUGAGCAACAGCACCCAGCCUAGUCAUAAGAAUAAUGGAUUUUAAACAAGGUCUGUUGCAGUUUACUGGAAGUCCACUCCAGACCCUGAUUGCCUGGGUAUCACCAGUGGAGGCUGCAGAACAACAAAGAUUCCUGCCUGCUUCUUCCUCUGGAAGCUUUGUGUCUGGAAUUGAGACCAUCAAGCUUCAGAUGAUUAUGUGACAUGGUUUCUAGCCAGUUCCAGGUGAAGACACCACCCCAGGCCAUCAAGAAGCUACCCUGUCACCACUGGACAGAGCAAGGAGAGAGUUCCGUGAGCCCCAGUGGGUAGGGACUGCACCCCAAAUUCAAGUCAGCAUAAAGCAGUUACAGAAAAAAAGACCAUCAGUCCCUAUGCCUCCCAUAAAGAUAUAUGAGAAUCUUGUCUCUCAGGGGGGACAUGAGGCAGGACAAGAAUGUCUGGAGGCAGGAAGCCUAAGGCCAAUUCCCACUGACUUCCUGGAGCUCAAUCCAAAGGAAAACCCCACUGGAUUAGUCCAUUUUCAUGCUGCUGAUAAAGACAUACCUGAGACUGGGCAAUUUACAAAAGAAAGCGAUUUAAUGGACAUACAGUUCCACGUGGCUGGGAAGGCCUCACAAUCAUGGUGGAAGGUGAAAGGCAUUUCUCACAUAGUGGCAGACAAGAGAAGAGAGCUUGUGCAGCGAAACUCCUGCUUUUAAAACCAUCAGAUCUUGUGAGACUCGUUCACUAUCAUGAGAACAGCACAGGAGGGAACCACCUCCAUAAUUCAAUCACCUUCCACCAGGAUCCUCCUAUGAUGCAUGGGAAUUACAGGAGUUGCAAUUCAAGUUGAGAUUUGGGUGGGGACACAGCUAAACCACACCAUCAAUCUCUCCAUAACAAAAGGAUCAGAAACUACUCCUUUUAUACUGCGUUGCAGAUGAAAAAUGGAAAGUACCUCUGAAUGGUUCCCUCCCACAAUCAGUCAGACUAGUCACAGGCCAAGUCUUCUUUUACAUUGGGUGUAACCAAGUAACCAAAGGGAAACUUUUAGAGGGUAUUGAAACCCCAGAAAAUGUUUCAAGGGGUGCUCUUUGCCACUUGCUCAAUCCUGCUCCCACUCUGUUGCAGUGUAAUUUCAUUUCAAUAAAUUUGUGCUUUCA